GACGAACGCUGGCGGCGUGCUUAACACAUGCAAGUCGAACGGAAAGGCCCUGCUUUUGUGGGGUGCUCGAGUGGCGAACGGGUGAGUAACACGUGAGUAACCUGCCCUUGACUUUGGGAUAACUUCAGGAAACUGGGGCUAAUACCGGAUAGGAGCUCCUGCUGCAUGGUGGGGGUUGGAAAGUUUCGGCGGUUGGGGAUGGACUCGCGGCUUAUCAGCUUGUUGGUGGGGUAGUGGCUUACCAAGGCUUUGACGGGUAGCCGGCCUGAGAGGGUGACCGGCCACAUUGGGACUGAGAUGCGGCCCUGCCUCCUACGGGACGCAGCAGUGAGACAUAUUGCCCGAUGGGCGGAAGCCUGAUGCAGCAACGCCGCGUGCGGGAUCACGGCCUUCGGUUUGUAAACCGCUUUCGCCUGUGACGAAGCGUGAGUGACGGUAAUGGGUAAAGAAGCACCGGCUAACUACGUG
rnacentral:rRNA from 1 species